GCUGCUGCUGCUGCUGCUGCUGCUGCUGCUAUGCUUCCUCCCCGCUUCCUCAACACCGUGCAGGUAUCAAGAAACCACAGUGCUCCCUGAAACGUGGGAUGAUAUGCAAAACCAGCAACUCAAGGUAGUGGAACUAAAACCAGAAACAAAGGACUACAGAGAGGUGGCAGAAAGGUUUCUGAAGACCAGCUUCAGCUUCUAAAAAUUGAAAAGCUGCAAACUUUGGAAAUGGAAUGAACUUUGCUGUUAAUGCCAGCUAUUCUGCCCACGACACCUAUUCUAAACCAAAUGUGGAUGGAAAGAAGUACAUGUACGUGGCUCGAGUAUUUUUGGAGAAUGUUCUCAAGGGACAAGAGGAUCAAUUACUCCAGCAGCAAAAAGUGCUAGCAACUCCAUGGAUCUAUUUGAUAGUUCAACUGAUAAUGGAAACAAUUCAUCCAUGUUUAUCAUAUUUAAUGACAUUCAAGCUUACCCAGAAUAGCUUAUCACUUUCACUAGAUGAGCAUUUUGAUUGCAGCCAAGUUUGCAUGUCUCUUCAUUUUAUAAAUCUGUCCUGCACAUUAAUAUGUAUAUAUAUAUCAGUGAAAACAAAUAGUUUUAUCAAAUAAAUUUCUUAGAGCUUGUUUAUAUUUAAGCAACCUUUGGCAAUUUUUGAUAGCACUGCCAUAGACUACUUUUUUCCACUUGGAGCAGUUGAACGUAUCGAACAGGAGUUCAAUUUGACAUGUAACUUAACAGUAGUUUUCAGUAGAAAUCCUACAUCUGUCCACCCGCUUUAUGCUAUCUUGGCCUUUCCAUGCAGCAUUCUGGCCAUCCUAGUUGCAAUAAAGAGUGGGUAGUGCUGUUGGGGGAUUGAAAGAGACAUUCUCUCAACCACUGAUUGCAUGGCAUUGCAUUUCUGAUAGAGUAUGAGAAGCUAUCAUAAAUUAUAAUGCUGACUGUCAUUUACUGUGGAUUUCA